rnacentral:lncRNA from 1 species
UUGUCCAUUUGAUAAGUGAAGACAAAUGCUUAAUCAAUGGACCUGCAGGAGCAGCGUGAGCUUGAAAAUGGAGAGAGAAAGUGGAAGCAAGUAGAAUGAGAGCAUAGGAGAGUAGAUAGUGAGUUGUCAUGAUGAAGAAGCUAUGGCAAGUGAACUCUUCUUCUUCUUCUUCAAUUGCCACAAACACAGCUGCAAAACACUCUUUGCAUCUCUCUCUCUAAAAAGUGCUUUUUCUGUGAGUAACUUUUUUAACUUUGUUUUAGCAUUUUCGCGGAAAGUGAGUUUUUU